rnacentral:snRNA from 16 species
GGCCGCUGGUAUGAGAACACGGCUCACAGAUGACCCCCAGUUACCGGGGGGUCAAGAGCCGAAGGUUCUCAGGGUUUGGGAGCCGGAGGUUACCGGCGGUUAGGAGCCCGAGGUUACCAGAGGUUAGGCGCCGGCAAAGCAGCCAACGGUCUUCAAAAAGAGAGGAAAG